UACGAGGGGGGCAAGCGUUGUUCGGAAUUAUUGGGCGUAAAGGGCGCGUAGGCGGUUGUUUAAGUUAGAUGUGAAAUCCCUGGGCUUAACCUAGGAACUGCAUCUGAUACUGGAUGACUAGAGUACUGUAGAGGGUAGUGGAAUUUCCGGUGUAGCGGUGAAAUGCGUAGAGAUCGGAAGGAACACCAGUGGCGAAGGCGGCUACCUGGACAGAUACUGACGCUGAGGCGCGAGAGCGUGGGGAGCAAACAGG
rnacentral:rRNA from 1 species